rnacentral:rRNA from 1 species
AUGAGGUACCGUUCAAACAAUAGUCCAUCCUCUUGUUUAAGCCUGCUCUUUAGAUUUUUUAGAUUUGGUAAGUGUUUGUUUCUAUGUGAUGUUUGGGUCUAUUCUUUUGGUUGUUUUUCCAUCAAAGGGGCGGUGGUUGAAGACAUUUGCAUGGUCUUUGAAGUAAAACCUAUAAUAUUUCAGGAAUUGAUUUGGGCGCAAUCUUGCUACGUACCUAAAUCUUUUUUUGGCCUCCUUUACUUCUCCUGUGUGCUACCAGAUUGCUCUAAUCCAGGCAUUGCUAAUCUGCAUUCCUCUAAUGACAAUGUUUUUCAAAUUCAAGCAGUAAGAUAA